rnacentral:lncRNA from 1 species
UAUGUACUGUGUAAAAAUAAUGGCUGUUCUUUCUCAAAGCUAGUCUGGUUUUAUUUUGGUUGCAGGUGUAUUGUGCUGUUAUAACAUCUAGUUCUACAACACACAAGGCUGGGGAGAAAGGCAAAUAAAGGAAGGAGUUUUUCUCAGAUUAUUCUGGAGAUGCAUGAGAUGUUUACCCCUGCUUCUCAUAUAAAAUAAAGUAAAAACAGUCCUCCAAACUGAUAAAUUGAAGUUGAAACCACUGCUUGUAUGUCAACAAUAGAUACUAAUUACCAUUUCAUCCUAUUGAAGGUGCUCACGCAAAUAGUUUUUGACACAAGAUUGGGCAGCCUCCUCGUUGACCUGGGCUUCAGACUGGCCCUGCUUCCAAGUGGUUGCACUACACAGUCUUUUCAGUUUGUGAUGAAAAGUGAGCGAUUGACAAGGGAAACAGAUGUGUUCUAUAUGAAAAUACAUCACAACAGACUGGUAAUUGCUGAGCAACCAAAACAAUUUACUGACAUAAUCCCUCUAUCAGCUUAUUAG